rnacentral:piRNA from 1 species
UUCUUGUAAUCUUUAUUGUCU